rnacentral:rRNA from 1 species
UACGUAGGGCGCAAGCGUUGUCCGGAAUUAUUGGGCGUAAAGCGCUCGUAGGCGGCCUGUUGCGUCCGCUGUGAAAUCCCGGGGCUUAACCCCGGGUCUGCAGUGGAUACGGGCAGGCUAGAGGCAGGCAGGGGAGAACGGAAUUCCCGGUGUAGCGGUGAAAUGCGCAGAUAUCGGGAGGAACACCGGUGGCGAAGGCGGAUCUCUGGGCCAUUACUGACGCUGAGGAGCGAAAGCGUGGGGAGCGAACAGG